rnacentral:rRNA from 1 species
AGCGAACGCUGGCGGCAGGCCUAACACAUGCAAGUCGAACGAACCUUUCGGGGUUAGUGGCGGACGGGUGAGUAACACGUGGGAACGUGCCUUUAGGUUCGGAAUAACUCAGGGAAACUUGUGCUAAUACCGAAUGUGCCCUUCGGGGGAAAGAUUUAUCGCCUUUAGAGCGGCCCGCGUCUGAUUAGCUAGUUGGUUGAGGUAAUGGCUCACCAAGGCGACGAUCAGUAGCUGGUCUGAGAGGAUGAUCAGCCACAUUGGGACUGAGACACGGCCCAAACUCCUACGGGAGGCAGCAGUGGGGAAUCUUGCGCAAUGGGCGAAAGCCUGACGCAGCCAUGCCGCGUGAAUGAUGAAGGUCUUAGGAUUGUAAAAUUCUUUCACCGGGGACGAUAAUGACGUUACCCGGAGAAGAAGCCCCGGCUAACUUCGUG